GGCCGCCCAGCCUGCCGCUCACGCCACCUGGUGGCCAGGCGGCGGCGGCGAGGCGCGAACCUGGCCCAAGCAUCCUCGGAGUCUGGCCCCAGCCCCGGAGCAUGUCUGAGAAGACCGUCCAGCUCUGAGCCCGUCUGCCCACGGAAGGAACAGACCCUGGCCGGGGGCGGCCAAGGCCGGAGGGACGCCAGCGCCGGGCACCAGCGACCACCCCCCCCACCAAGGAGUAAGGUCAGCAUCGGAACCUUCUGGGCAAAGAGCUUCAGGCAGAAGCCAUGAGAGACUGUUUCCAUCAGGAUCUUGGAAAUCCAGGGCACAGCAGCGAACAAGCAGUUCAGUAAGGUUUUCUUUCCCUUGCACAUGUCUUCUGGUCUUCCUAUGAGUUUCGUGGCUGGUGGCAUCUCACACGUAUCCUUUCAAUAGGCCCACUCUGUGGGUUAAACACAUAGGCAUAGGAGUUCUGUUGUGGUGCAGCGGAAACCAAUCCGACUAGGAACCAUGAGGUUGCGAGUUCGAUC